rnacentral:ncRNA from 1 species
AGAAAUGGCUACUACAUCUAAGGAAGGCAGCAGGCGCGUAAAUUACCCACCCCCAGCUCGAGGAGGGAGUGACGAAAAAUAACAAUAUAGAACUGAUUAUU